rnacentral:rRNA from 1 species
AUGGAUCUAUAGUGAAAGAUGGCUUUGCUAUCACUUAUAGAUGGAGCCGCGCCGUAUUAGGUAGUUGGUAAGGUAACGGCUUACCAAGGCGACGAUACGUAUCCGACCUGAGAGGGUGAUCGGCCACACUGGAACUGAGACACGGUCCAGACUCCUACGGGAGGCAGCAGUAGGGAAUCUUCCGCAAUGGGCGAAAGCCUGACGGAGCAACGCCGCGUGAGUGAUGAAGGGUUUCGGCUCGUAAAACUCUGUUAUUAGGGAAGAACAUAUGUGUAAGUAACUGUGCACAUCUUGACGGUACCUAAUCAGAAAGCCACGGCUAACUACGUGCCAGCAGCCGCGGUAAUACGUAGGUGGCAAGCGUUAUCCGGAAUUAUUGGGCGUAAAGCGCGCGUAGGCGGUUUCUUAAGUCUGAUGUGAAAGCCCACGGCUCAACCGUGGACGGUCAUUGGAAACUGGGAAACUUGAGUGCAGAAAAGGAAAGUGGAAUUCCAUGUGUAGCGGUGAAAUGCGCAGAGAUAUGGAGGAACACCAGUGGCGAACGCUACUUUGUGGUCUGUAACUGACGCUAAUGUGCGAAAGCUUGAGGAUCAAACAGGAUUAUAUACCCUGGGAGUCCACCCCAUAAACGAUGAGUGCUAACUGUUAGGGGGGUUUCCCCCCCUUACUUCUGCGGCUAACGGUUUACGCACUCCGGCUGGGCACUACGAGGGGCAGGGGGGGGCUCACACAAAUAGACAAAAACCCCCCCAGCGGUGUAUCACCCAAUUAAUUCAAAACAACGGGACC